rnacentral:rRNA from 1 species
GACGAACGCUGGCGGCGUGCUUAACACAUGCAAGUCGAACGAUGAAGCCGGAGCUUGCUCUGGUGAAUUAGUGGCGAACGGGUGAGUAACACGUGAGUAACCUGCCCUUGACUCUGGGAUAACUGCGGGAAACUGUAGCUAAUACCGGAUACGACCCUCGGAGGCAUCUCCUGGGGGUGGAAAGAAUUUCGGUCAAGGAUGGACUCGCGGCCUAUCAGCUAGUUGGUGAGGUAAAGGCUCACCAAGGCGACGACGGGUAGCCGGCCUGAGAGGGUGACCGGCCACAUUGGGACUGAGACACGGCCCAGACUCCUACGGGAGGCAGCAGUGGGGAAUAUGGCACAAUGGGCGCAAGCCUGAUGCAGCAACGCCGCGUGAGGGACGACGGCCUUCGGGUUGUAAACCUCUUUUAGUAGGGAAGAAGCGAAAGUGACGGUACCUGCAGAAAAAGCACCGGCUAACUACGUGCCAGCCGCCGUAAAAC